rnacentral:rRNA from 1 species
UGGGUAACCUCGCCCAAGAGACGUGGGAUAACACCUGGAAACAGAUGCUAAUACCGGAUAACAACACUAGACGCAUGUCUAGAGUUUAAAAGAUGGUUCUGCUAUCACUCUUGGAUGGACCUGCGGUGCAUUAGCUAGUUGGUAAGGUAACGGCUUACCAAGGCAAUGAUGCAUAGCCGAGUUGAGAGACUGAUCGGCCACAUUGGGACUGAGACACGGCCCAAACUCCUACGGGAGGCAGCAG